CCUACGGGUGGCAGCAGUGAGGAAUAUUGGUCAAUGGGCGAGAGCCUGAACCAGCCAAGUCGCGUGAAGGAUGACGGCCCUACGGGUUGUAAACUUCUUUUGUCAGGGAGCAAUUGAGUCCACGUCCGGACCGGGAGAGUACCCGGAGAAACAGCAUCGGCUAACUCCGUGCCAGCAGCCGCGGUAAUACGGAGGGUGCGAGCGUUAUCCGGAUUUAUUGGGUUUAAAGGGUGCGUAGGCGGGCAUUUAAGCCGGCGGUAAAAUGUCGGGGGUCAACCCCGGCCUGCCGUCGGCACGGGGUGCCUUGAGUGGGCGAGAAGUAUGCGGAAUGCGUGGUGUAGCGGUGAAAUGCAUAGAUAUCACGCAGAACCCCGAUUGCGAAGGCAGCAUACCGGCGCCCUACUGACGCUGAGGCACGAAAGUGCGGGUAUCGAACAGGAUUAGAUACCCUAGUAGUC
rnacentral:rRNA from 1 species